UAAGAAUUGGUACCUGGAAAUAAUUAUGAAAUUAUAUUGCUUAAACUGAUUGCACAAUAACUUUAUAGCUGUGAUAUAAAACACGAAAUUAUACGGUGAAAUGUUAAUAUCUCAUGAAGAUUAAUUAUUUCGACGAAGGAAAUGGUAAAAUCCAGAAAACUGUCUUCGAAAAUCACAUUUAUUACUAUUCAAAGACUGUGCGACUUGCAUUGUCAUGAUAUUAAAUGUCAUUAAGCUUUAUUAGAAUACGGCGGAAAUGAAAUUCCGUGAGAUGAUAGUUAAGGUUAUGUAAAGUACUGAAGAAAAAAUGUGCGAGAAAUAAAGCUAUUACCUUAACACUGUCGAGUGGAUACAUCACACAAUGUUCCAUAAUUCCGGCGAUUGCACCUGCUGUCAUGUGUA